AACGAAGUUGAUCGAAGUGGAAAAAGACGAUAUAUAAAAAGGUGUGGGACAUUCCAAAUGUUCCAAAAGUGAGCACUCCACGAAUGGACAACAGUUUGCAGGACCUCUCAGGCACCCACAACCAGCGUCUGAUCGGGAUGGAGCACCAACCCCAUUCCAG